rnacentral:hammerhead_ribozyme from 1 species
AUCCAACUGACAAGUCCCUAAUAUGACAAAACGCGCGUCCUGGAU